rnacentral:rRNA from 1 species
CGCAUCUGUGCAUGCAGCAUAUCAAUAAGCGGAGGAAAAGAAACUAACAAGGAUUCCCCUAGUAACGGCGAGUGAAGCGGGAAGAGCUCAAAUUUGAAAUCUUAAAGGGUUUCCCUUUACGAAUUGUAGUUUAAAGAAGUGUUUUCUGUUGAGGUUUUGGUAAAAGUUCUUUGGAAUAGGACAUCAUAGAGGGUGAGAAUCCCGUAUUUGACCUUUACUUUCAACUUUGUGAUACACUUUCAAAGAGUCGGAUUGUUUGGGAAUGCAGUCCAAAAUGGGUGGUAAAUUUCAUCUAAAGCUAAAUAUUGGCGAGAGACCGAUAGCGAACAAGUACCGUGAGGGAAAGAUGAAAAGAACUUUGAAAAGAGAGUUGAACAGUACGUGAAAUUGUCAAAAGGGAAGCGUUUGACACCAGUGUUGUUUUUCUGAAAAUCAAUUAAAGAACUGUUUAUGCUAAGCUGUUUAGACUUUAUCAGCUAACUGUUUAGUUUUGAGCUUUUCUUUAAUGCACUUUUCAGUUAACAAGUCAACAUCAAUUUCUUUUGCUGUAAAAAAGCUUGAGGAAGGUGGCUUGAGAUUCGUCUUAAGUGUUUAUAGCCUCUUGCCUAUGCAGUCGGAGAGAUUGAGGUCUGCAGCGUAGAUCCUUCGGGGCUAAAUGCAUUUGUGCUAAGUUAUAGCAUUUUAUAGACAACUUGUUGACUAUGAUUUGUCUUGUAGCUUACUCGCUUAUGUUAUUUUACCUACGCUUAGGAUGUUGAGCGCAUGUCUCUCUCU